AGCGAACGCUGGCGGCGUGCUUAACACAUGCAAGUCGAGCGAAGGUGUUUCAAGGGUAACCUUGAGAUACACUUAGCGGCGGACGGGUGAGUAAUACGUGGAUAACUUACCUCUAGGCCUGGGAUAACCCCGGGAACUGGGGCUAAUACCUGAUAAGACCACAUUGUCUACGGACAAAGGGGUAAAGGUGGCUGUGCAAACAGCUAUCGCCAAAAGAUAGGUUCACGUCCCAUCAGGCAGUUGGUGAGGUAAUGGCUCACCAAACCAAAGACGGGUAGCCGGCCUUGGC
rnacentral:rRNA from 1 species